rnacentral:miRNA from 1 species
UGUGUGUGUGUGUGUGUGUGUGUGUGUGUGUGUGUAUAAACUCACACAUGUGCGUACACACACACACACACACACACACACACACACUCAUACU